UACGGAGGGUGCAAGCGUUAUCCGGAUUCACUGGGUUUAAAGGGUGCGUAGGUGGGCAGGUAAGUCAGUGGUGAAAUCUCCGGGCUUAACCCGGAAACUGCCAUUGAUACUAUCAGUCUUGAAUACCGUGGAGGUAAGCGGAAUAUGUCAUGUAGCGGUGAAAUGCUUAGAUAUGACAUAGAACACCAAUUGCGAAGGCAGCUUACUACCCGAAUAUUGACACUGAGGCACGAAAGCGUGGGGAUCAAACAGG
rnacentral:rRNA from 1 species